UUCAGUGAAAUUCUUGUUAGACUUUUCAGAGUUCUGUAAGAGACCAGCCCUCCAUGCAGAGCUGAUUACAUGAAGUUCUUGUGUUUUGCAGGUUCUCACCAAUGUAUAGGUUCACCUGCAUCUGCAAAAGGAGUGGACUAGCAAUGGUAGAAGGAAUUAUUUCACACUCCUCACUGUCAUUAACAGAUUUGUUACACUUUCUGUAUUGAGGAAAAGUAAUUAUUGCUAACACUGUGAGGAAUAUUGAAUGGGCAACAUUGACUGGUGCUGAAGUCACAUUUAAUGACUGCUUUGGUAGAAUCUUUACAGGAGCUUUCCAUCAAGCCAGAUUUGUUUCUAAGGGUCCCCAAAAUCUGUGUGCUUGAUCAACCCUCACCUUUCACACUGAACUUUCUUGCUUGUUGUCAUUUCACCCUUUGCCCUCCAAUAAGAGCAGGAGGAUUCCUUUGCUGGCUGUGUUGUCUGACCUCCCACCUGCCAUCCUAAUUUCCUUCUAACAAGUCUUUUCAAAACUAAAGUUGCAAUUUAAUUGCGGAGAGACAUUUGAGCAUGAAUAGCAAUACCAGAACCCGGGGACUCUGCAGAUGUGACCAUUUGUCACCAUAAUCCCACCAUUCAAGUGGAGAUGAUCAACUGGUCCAGAUUCAUUGUUCUAGAUGCACACAGCUGUCUCAGCUGUCCUGAGCACCUUCACCCUCACAGCAGAUCCAAGCUCACAGUCCCUGAGAAGCCCCUUGGUUCAGUUUGUGGCUUGAAGCUAAGAUGACAGAUUCCAGGGAAUGAUCCAGACUUUCAGCAGAUGCAACUAGAAGACCCAGAGGCAAGGUUUUGGUCACCCCUGUUAAAUCACCAUCUUCAUUUCUGACAGUGCCAAGGAGGGAGGCCCACAUAGGCAGAAGAAGUGAGCUAGUAAGAAGAAAAGCAGUCAAAUAUCUCCUAAAAAGGAAGACAAACAUCCAGGUACAGAAGGCAUUGAUCAUGCUGCCUGCAUGAUCAAUGGGAGUUUUGCCAAUGACACAAACAGGAGUGAAUUGGCAGGAAAGAGAAUAGGAAAUAUUUGCAAAGAAGUGCAUCAGCUUUGCAUGUAUAGAAGAAAAAGCAGCUGCAUUAGCAGCUGUCCCAUUAGAAAGUGCUCAGGGAAAUGGAGAUGCAUUGCUUCUAUCUUCCAGGCAUUAACUGUACAUUUUUACUCUAACUUCCAAUUAGGACAUUUAAUCGGUCAGCACCCCGUUUUUCCCCACCCUCUAUGCAAUGCGAUAGGCUCAAGACAGAAGUUAAGUUUAGCAGAAACGAGAGAAGUCUCACACAGCAGAGUGUAUGAGGGUGUUCUUUCUUCAGAGACUGACUAAGCCUCCGGCAGUCACUCCCCUGCAAGUGCUGACCUGUUCCAUGGGCAGACCAAGAAGUGAUGCUGCUGUCAGUGUCUCCACUGCACAUGCAGAGAGACCCCAUUUCAACACAGCCUUCGCUACUGAAUGUACAGCAGGGGAGGGGUAUCAAUCCUCAGCCACCUCUUUGCCACUAGCCCGUCUGAAAAAGUUUUAUGAAGGCUUACCAAACUCAAAAGGUGGGAUGUUAUACUCUAUUUGCAAAUUUGGAAGCCCCUUCUGAAAACAUGAUUCUUGAUGGUAAAACUUUGUGUUGGAAGAUAAAACAGAGUAAGUGGUCCAUGACUUCUUGGGCUGGGAAAUGAGCAGUGAGUGCUCUGGAGGUUACCCUGCAUGGCCUACUGCCGGUGACUGGAAAGAGAGGCAUGGCAAUGGCAGCAAAACUUAUCAGAAUACCAGAUACUGUGUUAGAUUUGAGCUUUCUGGGUUGCCAUGAAGUUUUCCUGAUUAAUUAGAAGCAUAUUCCAUGACUCUACUAAUCAGCUAAGUUUCCAUAUGUGAUAUGAUCCUCUUCACUUACCAGAUUUGUUCCUUUAUCUCAGUUCUCUAAAAUACCAGUUUUGCUGAACUACUAAUUCUUACUUUCCAACAGUCAGUUAUGAAAAACUAUGGUUUUGAAAAUAUUGCUUUCCUGUGAGCUGUCUCAGGCUUUUGCUGUAAUGAUAUCUUAAAACA